rnacentral:rRNA from 1 species
UUUUGUAGAAUGAACCGGCGAGUUACGAUUUGUUGCAAGGUUAAGCGGAAAAAGCGGAGCCGUAGCGAAAGCGAGUCUGAAUAGGGCGCAUAAGUAACAGGUCGUAGACCCGAAACCAGGUGAUCUACCCAUGUCCAGGAUGAAGGUAAGGUAAUACUUACUGGAGGUCCGAACCCACGCACGUUGAAAAGUGCGGGGAUGAGGUGUGGGUAGCGGAGAAAUUCCAAUCGAACUUGGAGAUAGCUGGUUCUCUCCGAAAUAGCUUUAGGGCUAGCCUCGAGGUAAAGAGUCAUGGAGGUAGAGCACUGUUUGGACUAGGGGCCCUUCUCGGGUUACCGAAUUCAGAUAAACUCCGAAUGCCAUGUACUUAUACUCGGGAGUCAGACUGCGAGUGAUAAGAUCCGUAGUCGAAAGGGAAACAGCCCAGACCACCAGUUAAGGUCCCCAAAUAUAUGUUAAGUGGAAAAGGAUGUGGGGUUGCUUAGACAACCAGGAUGUUGGCUUAGAAGCAGCCACCAUUGAAAGAGUGCGUAAUAGCUCACUGGUCGAGUGACCCCGCGCCGAAAAUGUACCGGGGCUAAACAUAUUACCGAAACUGUGGAUGAACCUCUUUAGAGGUUCGUGGUAGGAGAGCGUUCUAAGGGCGGUGAAGUCAGACCGGAAGGACUGGUGGAGCGCUUAGAAGUGAGAAUGCCGGUAUGAGUAGCGAAAGAAGGGUGAGAAUCCCUUCCACCGAAUAUCUAAGGUUUCCUGAGGAAGGCUCGUCCGCUCAGGGUUAGUCGGGACCUAAGCCGAGGCCGAUAGGCGUAGGCGAUGGACAACAGGUAGAGAUUCCUGUACCAGUGCUAAUUGUUUAACCGAUGGGGUGACACAGAAGGAUAGGGAAUCGCACGAAUGGAAAUGUGCGUCCAAGCAGUGAGUGUGAGAAGUAGGCAAAUCCGCUUCUCGCGAAGCAUGAGCUGUGAUGGGGAAGGAAAUUAAGUACGGAAGUUCCUGAUUUCACGCUGUCAAGAAAAGCCUCUAGGAAGAGUAGUACUGCCCGUACCGCAAACCGACACAGGUAGAUGAGGAGAGAAUCCUAAGGUGAGCGAGAGAACUCUCGUUAAGGAACUCGGCAAAAUGACCCCGUAACUUCGGGAGAAGGGGUGCUCUAUUAGGGUGCAAGCCCGAGAGAGCCGCAGUGAAUAGGCCCAGGCGACUGUUUAGCAAAAACACAGGUCUCUGCAAAACCGUAAGGUGACGUAUAGGGGCUGACGCCUGCCCGGUGCUGGAAGGUUAAGAGGAGUGCUUAGCUUCGGCGAAGGUACGAAUUGAAGCCCCAGUAAACGGCGGCCGUAACUAUAACGGUCCUAAGGUAGCGAAAUUCCUUGUCGGGUAAGUUCCGACCCGCACGAAAGGCGCAACGAUCUGGGCACUGUCUCAACGAGAGACUCGGUGAAAUUAUAGUACCUGUGAAGAUGCAGGUUACCCGCGACAGGACGGAAAGACCCCGUGGAGCUUUACUGCAACCUGAUAUGGAAUGUUUGUACCGCUUGUACAGGAUAGGUAGGAGCCGAAGAGACGUGUGCGCUAGCAUACGAGGAGGCAAUGGUGGGAUACUACCCUGGCUGUAUGACCAUUCUAACCCGCCACGCUUAGCGCGUGGGGAGACAGUGUCAGGUGGGCAGUUUGACUGGGGCGGUCGCCUCCUAAAGAGUAACGGAGGCGCCCAAAGGUUCCCUCAGAAUGGAUGGAAAUCAUUCGCAGAGUGUAAAGGCACAAGGGAGCUUGACUGCGAGACUGACAAGUCGAGCAGGGACGAAAGUCGGGCUUAGUGAUCCGGUGGUUCCGCAUGGAAGGGCCAUCGCUCAACGGAUAAAAGCUACCCCGGGGAUAACAGGCUUAUCUCCCCCAAGAGUCCACAUCGACGGGGAGGUUUGGCACCUCGAUGUCGGCUCGUCGCAUCCUGGGGCUGUAGUCGGUCCCAAGGGUUGGGCUGUUCGCCCAUUAAAGCGGCACGCGAGCUGGGUUCAGAACGUCGUGAGACAGUUCGGUCCCUAUCCGUCGCGGGCGCAGGAAAUUUGAGAGGAGCUGUCCUUAGUACGAGAGGACCGGGAUGGACACACCGCUGGUGUACCAGUUGUUCCGCCAGGAGCAUCGCUGGGUAGCUAUGUGUGGCAGGGAUAAACGCUGAAAGCAUCUAAGCGUGAAGCCCCCCUCAAGAUGAGAUUUCCCAUUUCUUCGGAAAGUAAGAUCCCUGAAAGAUGAUCAGGUAGAUAGGUUUGGAG